rnacentral:lncRNA from 1 species
UUCUGAGGAAGUAGUCAAUGUUCCAUAGAGAUAAGAGAAAAUUCAAACAGGCAAACAACUCUGCAAGGCUGAAUUGCAGGCAUGAUCUAAAACUUCCUUCUUUCUUCUAAAGGCCUCCUCCGUUCCAAAGUUGCUCAUCCUAAAACCUGAAAAAAAAAAUGACUCAGAAGUGGUUCCCAUCUCAAGAACUACCCACGAGUCUCAGUGGACACAUUCCCCGAUGCAGCCUUCCAAUCCAGCAGAGGUUCCAACCAACUUCCAAACAGGUGCAACUUGAUGGCACCUCAUUUUUGGCUGUACCAGAUGCCUUCUAUCUCUGGACUCCUGCCCUCAGACUUCUCCGACACCUGAAGAAAGCUUCUGGGACAGCUGACAUGCACAACCUGGGAGCUAAAACAUGUGGGACCAGCUGUGACCAAUGAACAAUGAUGGACAGGAGACGAUAACCCCAUUAGUUCCUUACAGUGCUGAGAUAAAUUUCAUGAGUCUCCUAGAAGAUCUGAUGGGAUUGAACAUCAGUUGUACCUAGCAUGGCCGCUGUACUGGCUUUCCUUCCUUCCCUAUUUCAUCCCCCCUCGUCCCUCCUACUCCUUGGGAUCACAUUGACAAAUAAGUCUCUUGCAUGCAAUUCUUUAUUUCAAGCUCUGUAUUCAGUUAGCAGACAGCAGAAAUGUGGUCCAAAGCAGGAGAGGACUCAGCAGCAGCAGGCUCUGGUACAAUCUGCCCUGUCACUCAAGCCAUGUGAAUGAGAAGAUCCAGUGGUGGCUGGUUGAAUGCAUGACUCCCCUGUGGAUGUCAGCCAGAGUCUUCUUCUCAGACAACCAGUGCUAGCACAAUGGGCCCAUGGAUGAGAUGGCUCAGGUGGCAGGAUAAAGGCUGUAUGUGGGCUCGGUAUUGUGGGCUUUCUCUUAGCAAUGACCUAGCUAUUACCACUGCUGAAUGGUCCAGCCAACCAAUGGCAGAGGGAGAUGCCAAUCUCUAUAGCACCUUCACAGAUAUCAGCCAGGCCCUUGGGGAAAGGCUGAUCAUAACAGACCACUUCCACCCCAAAAAGGAGAGGGGAGAUAGAAAUUCAUGCUUACAUAAAUUGACAUGUACUCCAGGUUUGGGUUUGCUUUCUCUGCCUUUAGGGUCUCUGCAAGUGCCACUAUUUGAGAACAUAAGAAUGCCUAAUCUAUCAGUGUAGUAUCCCACACAACAUUGCUUCAGACCCAGGGAUCGAUAUAUGUCAAAGGAGGUGCAGCAAUGAGUGUAUGAGUAGGGACUCCAUGAGUUUUCUCAUAUACCACCUCAUUCACAAGCAUCCAGCUUAACUGAAGACUGGAUUGGCCUGUUAAAGGCUUAGUUAGGAGACUAGCCUGAGAAACACAAUCUGCGAUUCCAGUAUCACCUUGAUUCACGCCCCGGCCCUGGAAUUUCUGCAAGGUAGCUUGGUUUUUUGGUUUUGUUUUUGAGGGGUUUUUUAGUGAAGAAUGGUGUCAGAAUCUGGGUAGCAGGUGUUCUCAUUGUUAUUGGGAUCUCAUUUCUUCUUGGUCCUUUUAAGAGGCAGAGCUAGGAAAUAUAUGACCGUAUGUAUACUAUACAUAUAUAUGUCUUCACACAUAUUUAUAAAUAUACA